UACGUAGGGUGCAAGCGUUGUCCGGAAUUAUUGGGCGUAAAGAGCUCGUAGGCGGUCUGUCGCGUCUGCUGUGAAAACUCGGGGCUUAACCCCGGGCCUGCAGUGGGUACGGGCAGACUAGAGUGCGGUAGGGGAGACUGGAAUUCCUGGUGUAGCGGUGAAAUGCGCAGAUAUCGGAAGGAACACCAGUGGCGAAAGCGGCUUCCUGGUCCAGCACCGACGUUCAGGCACGAAAGCGUGGGGAGCAAACAGG
rnacentral:rRNA from 1 species